AAAACAUGUCUCUUUGAGAUUUUUUAAUAAAGAGUUGGGCCUGCUCGGUGAUUAAUAUUUAACAGCUGCGGUAUUAUAACUGUACUAAGGUAGCAUAAUAAUUUGCUCUAUAAAUUGGGGCUAGAAUGAAUGGUUUGACGAAAAUUUGACUGUCUCUAUCUUAUUUAUUAGAAAUUAAUUUUUGUAGUGAGAAAGCUUAAAUUAUUUAAAGGGACGAAAAGACCCUAUUGAGCUUAUAUUAUUUAAUAAAUUAUAUGAUUGUUGUUUGUUUGAAUUAAUUUUGAUUGGGGUGAUCAAGGAAUAAAUUUUAUUUAAUUUAACUUCCUUAGUUAAUUGUUCUAUGGAAGAAUAAACCAAAGUUUUUGCUUAGAAGAUAAGUUACCAUAGGGAUAACAGCGUAAUUUUUUUUGAGAGUUCAUAUUGAAAAAAGAGAUUGCGACCUCGAUGUUGGAUUAAAAUUAACCUUAAGGUGAAGAGGCUUUAUUAGGUAAAUCUGUUCGAUUUUUAAAAUUUUACGUGAUC
rnacentral:rRNA from 1 species